UCCUUGGUGGCUCAGAGGUUAAAGCGUCUGCCUGAAAUGCUGGAGACCUGGGUUCGAUCCCUGGGUUGGGAA
rnacentral:tRNA from 1 species